rnacentral:rRNA from 1 species
CGUAGAGCGGCGGACGGGUGAGUAACGCGUGGGUAACCGUGCCUCAUACAGGGGGAUAACAGUUGGAAACGGCUGCUAAUACCGCAUAAGCGCACAGUACCGCAUGGUACGGUGUGAAAAACUCCGGUGGUAUGAGAUGGACCCGCGUCUGAUUAGGUAGUUGGUGGGGUAACGGCCUACCAAGCCGACGAUCAGUAGCCGACCUGAGAGGGUGACCGGCCACAUUGGGACUGAGACACGGCCCAA